rnacentral:pre_miRNA from 1 species
GUGAUUCUUGUUUCAAUCCAUACAAGUAUUUUCUAUAUGUACAGAUGAUGUAGAAAAUCUUGUGUGGAUUGAUACCAGGGUCA